AGUGAACGCUGGCGGUAGGCCUAACACAUGCAAGUCGAACGGCGGCACAGUAAGAGCUUGCUCUUACGGGUGGCGAGUGGCGGACGGGUGAGGAAUACAUCGGAAUCUACUUUUUCGUGGGGGAUAACGUAGGGAAACUUACGCUAAUACCGCAUACGACCUACGGGUGAAAGCAGGGGAUCUUCGGACCUUGCGCGAUUGAAUGAGCCGAUGUCGGAUUAGCUAGUUGGCGGGGUAAAGGCCCACCAAGGCGACGAUCCGUAGCUGGUCUGAGAGGAUGAUCAGCCACACUGGAACUGAGACACGGUCCAGACUCCUACGGGAGGCAGCAGUGGGGAAUAUUGGACAAUGGGCGCAAGCCUGAUCCAGCCAUACCGCGUGGGUGAAGAAGGCCUUCGGGUUGUAAAGCCCUUUUGUUGGGAAAGAAAAGCAGCAGGUUAAUACCCCGCUGUUCUGACGGUACCAAAGAAUAAGCACCGGCUAACUUCGUG
rnacentral:rRNA from 1 species